GGAAGUGGAAAGGGCACUGGUGGCUCUCCCGGACUUCAAAUCCGGUGAACCGUCUGAACAGGGCGGUUGGUGGGUUCGAUUCCCAUGCACUUCCGCCA
rnacentral:tRNA from 1 species